AAUAUGUCUUAUUCUUCUAGAAAAGGAAAAAAGAGAACAAAAUGAAGAAAAAGAAAGAAAAGAAGAAAAAGAGAGAGAAAACAGGACCUGUCCAGCUUUCCAAGUUCUUUAAAAACAAAAAGAAGAAUGAAAACUACAGCAUGAUAACCGGAAAGAAAAUUAAGAUGAAAAUUAAGAAGACUAAGGAAGAUAUAGAGAGAGACCGGAACCGUGCGCAGCUCCUGGAAUUUCUGAACUCUGCCUUGUAACGGGAAGAGUGCUGGCCAAGGACUUGGAGAUACACCAAGUCAAUGAUCAUCAUGCCUAGCAAAACACUAAAGGGAAACUCAGGGAAAAGGAUGCCAAGUUCGACAAGACCAGACCCUCCUGCUGAGAAGACAAUCAGGAUGUCCUUUUUUAAUGGCAAAAUGAAGAGUAGCUAAUAACUUGCUAAUGAAGAUCCAUGUCCUCCUUUUGAGAUCCUAAGGUAAUAGCCAGGCUGUGGUGUUUUAGAAAAGCCCAGGAGUGUGUCAUUGACAAUGAUAAGAAAUGACACACUGAAGUCAAAUAAUGUAAUUUCUAUCCUAACUGCAUGCAGAAUGCACUGUUAAUUUCAAAUGUCUUAAUUUUUCUAGUAGUUUACCCAGAGUAUUUGUAAAUGUCUGUUUGAAAGAUGAGGUGUUUCUUAUAUGUAUAUUUUUUUUCUGGUAGUGGUUAUACUUGUCCUAAACAGCAAAAUGACCUCUGUAAAUAGAACAUGCUUUUACAUAAAUGAUUUUUUUGAAAGUUCACUAACUAAUAUAUUACUUUCUUUCAGAGUUUGAGAUAGGAUCUUUCUCUGGACAGUUUAUUGCUCUCUCUCACUAGAAAAUGUAAAAGCAAAAUACUCUAGAGCAAUAACAGUAGCGAAUGAUUUGUAUCCUAAAAUAGAAGCAGAAAAGGUCUCUGAUUUUGUUUAUCUCAAUCAGCUGUUCAAAGGCAGCUCACAAUAAAUAGUUUACCCCCCCCAUCUGGAGUUGCAGUUCCUAGACCUAAAAACUCUGGAGUUCUGGCCUGCCUUUCUGAUCCUUUGAGUUGUGUAUCAAAUCUUUCUCUGUCUGAAGUGAAGCAAGACACACACCACAUACCUUACCCUAAUGGAGAAAGAGCUGCAGGAAUAAAUCAGAGGCAGGCAGUGCCAGUGACUCUCUGGAUAUGUUGACAGUCCGCUGUGAGAUGAGACAGGUAUGGAUAUGCAGCUGGAGCCCAGCAUAACUUGUGUGUUAGCUGUGGUAGUUUGCUCAGUGCUUGUGCUCUUCCUUCCUUCCAGAGCUUGACUUUGGAUUAGCCAGCAGGCCCCUGUGUACAUAACCCUGACGUGGGAGUCCCACUUGAAUCGCUCGCGAAGCAAUUGCUUCCCAGGAACUACCAUUUAGGAAUGCCUGAAAAAAAGGUGUCAAGGGUAGUUGACUUUGACAAGAGCACCAGGUCUACAGCAGUCAGAGUGUGGGGAGUUCAUUAAAGAGCAAGUGGAAAACUCCUUGGAUGUGUGUCUCUUACGGUGUUUUGAAGUAAACGUGAAGAUCUGUACCAUUGCUCAAGGGAUAAUUUUAUAACUGUUUUGAUGUGUGAAACCUUCUGAAGAUGCUAGAAUCCUGUCUUUUCCCUAGUUUUCUUUUAUUGGUGAAGCAUUUUAUAGUUGUUGCAGAGAUGUAAUUCUUUAGAGAUUAAAGCCCUGAUCCAGAAAAGCAAGCCUUUACAUCCUUAUCAACAUAAAACUUGGAAAAACA